UUAAGCGACUAAGCGUACACGGUGGAUGCCCUGGCAGUCAGAGGCGAUGAAGGACGUGCUAAUCUGCGAAAAGCGUCGGUAAGGUGAUAUGAACCGUUAUAACCGGCGAUGUCCGAAUGGGGAAACCCAGUGCAAUUCGUUGCACUAUCGUUAACUGAAUACAUAGGUUAACGAGGCGAACCGGGGGAACUGAAACAUCUAAGUACCCCGAGGAAAAGAAAUCAACCGAGAUUCCCCAGUAGCGGCGAGCGAACGGGGCAGCCCAGAGUCUGAAUCAGCUUGUGUGUUAGUGGAACGGUCUGGAAAGUCCGACGGUACAGGGUGAUAGUCCCGUACACCAAAAUGCACAGGUUGUGAACUCGAAGAGUAGGGCGGGACACGUGGUAUCCUGUCUGAAUAUGGGGGGACCAUCCUCCAAGGCUAAAUACUCCUGACUGACCGAUAGUGAACCAGUACCGUGAGGGAAAGGCGAAAAGAACCCCGGCGAGGGGAGUGAAAAAGAACCUGAAACCGUGUACGUACAAGCAGUGGGAGCACCUUCGGGUGUGACUGCGUACCUUUUGUAUAAUGGGUCAGCGACUUAUAUUCUGUAGCAAGGUUAACCGUAUAGGGGAGCCGCAGGGAAACCGAGUCUUAACUGGGCGUUAAGUUGCAGGGUAUAGACCCGAAACCCGGUGAUCUAGCCAUGGGCAGGUUGAAGGUUGGGUAACACUAACUGGAGGACCGAACCGACUAAUGUUGAAAAAUUAGCGGAUGACUUGUGGCUGGGGGUGAAAGGCCAAUCAAACCGGGAGAUAGCUGGUUCUCCCCGAAAGCUAUUUAGGUAGCGCCUCGUGAACUCAUCUUCGGGGGUAGAGCACUGUUUCGGCUAGGGGGUCAUCCCGACUUACCAACCCGAUGCAAACUACGAAUACCGAAGAAUGUUAUCACGGGAGACACACGGCGGUGCUAACGUCCGUCGUGAAGAGGGAAACAACCCAGACCGCCAGCUAAGGUCCCAAAGUCAUGGUUAAGUGGGAAACGAUGUGGGAAGGCACAGACAGCCAGGAUGUUGGCUUAGAAGCAGCCAUCAUUUAAAGAAAGCGUAAUAGCUCACUGGUCGAGGCGGCCUGCGCGGAAGAUGUAACGGGCUAAACCAUGCACCGAAGCUGCGGCAGCGACACUAUGUGUUGUUGGGUAGGGGCGUUCUGUAAGCCUGCGAAGGUGUGCUGUGAGGCAUGCUGGAGGUAUCAGAAGUGCGAAUGCUGACAUAAGUAACGAUAAAGCGGGUGAAAAGCCCGCUCGCCGGAAGACCAAGGGUUCCUGUCCAACGUUAAUCGGGGCAGGGUGAGUCGACCCCUAAGGCGAGGCCGAAAGGCGUAGUCGAUAGGAAACAGGUUAAUAUUCCUGUACUUGGUGUUACUGCGAAGGGGGGACGGAGAAGGCUAUGUUAGCCGGGCGACGGUUGUCCCGGUUUAAGCAUGUAGGCUGAUUGUCCAGGCAAAUCCGGAUAAUCAAGGCUGAGGUGUGAUGACGAGGCACUACGGUGCUGAAGUAACAAAUGCCCUGCUUCCAGGAAAAGCCUCUAAGCAUCAGGUAACAUUAAAUCGUACCCCAAACCGACACAGGUGGUCAGGUAGAGAAUACCAAGGCGCUUGAGAGAACUCGGGUGAAGGAACUAGGCAAAAUGGUGCCGUAACUUCGGGAGAAGGCACGCUGGUGUGUAGGUGAAGUCCCUGCGGAUGGAGCUGAGACCAGUCGAAGAUACCAGCUGGCUGCAACUGUUUAUUAAAAACACAGCACUGUGCAAACACGAAAGUGGACGUAUACGGUGUGACGCCUGCCCGGUGCCGGAAGGUUAAUUGAUGGGGUUAUCCGUAAGGAGAAGCUCUUGAUCGAAGCCCCGGUAAACGGCGGCCGUAACUAUAACGGUCCUAAGGUAGCGAAAUUCCUUGUCGGGUAAGUUCCGACCUGCACGAAUGGCGUAAUGAUGGCGCUGUCUCCACCCGAGACUCAGUGAAAUUGAACUCGCUGUGAAGAUGCAGUGUACCCGCGGCAAGACGGAAAGACCCCGUGAACCUUUACUAUAGCUUGACACUGAACAUUGAGCCUUGAUGUAGGAUAGGUGGGAGGCUUUGAAGCGUGGACGCCAGUCUGCGUGGAGCCAACCUUGAAAUACCACCCUUUAAUGUUUGAUGUUCUAACGUUGGCCCCUGACCGGGGUUGCGGACAGUGUCUGGUGGGUAGUUUGACUGGGGCGGUCUCCUCCCAAAGCGUAACGGAGGAGCACGAAGGUUAGCUAAUCCUGGUCGGACAUCAGGAGGUUAGUGCAAUGGCAUAAGCUAGCUUGACUGCGAGCGUGACGGCGCGAGCAGGUGCGAAAGCAGGUCAUAGUGAUCCGGUGGUUCUGAAUGGAAGGGCCAUCGCUCAACGGAUAAAAGGUACUCCGGGGAUAACAGGCUGAUACCGCCCAAGAGUUCAUAUCGACGGCGGUGUUUGGCACCUCGAUGUCGGCUCAUCACAUCCUGGGGCUGAAGUAGGUCCCAAGGGUAUGGCUGUUCGCCAUUUAAAGUGGUACGCGAGCUGGGUUUAGAACGUCGUGAGACAGUUCGGUCCCUAUCGCCGUGGGCGCUGGAGAAUUGAGGGGGCUCUGUACGAGAGGACCGGAGUGGACGCAUCACUGGUGUUCGGGUUGUCAUGCCAAUGGCACUGCCCGGUAGCUAAAUGCGGAAGAGAUAAGUGCUGAAAGCAUCUAAGCACGAAACUUGCCCCGAGAUGAGUUCUCCCUGAGACUUUAAGUCUCCUGAAGGAACGUUGAAGACGACGACGUUGAUAGGCCGGGUGUGUAAGCGCAGCGAUGCGUUGAGCUAACCGGUACUAAUGAACCGUGAGGCUUAACCU
rnacentral:rRNA from 1 species